rnacentral:lncRNA from 1 species
CAAUCAUCAUUGGGCGACAUUCUCAUUGGAGAACUCGCACACACUCCAACCAGGAGCUAAUCAAGACCCCAAUCCAUAUCAAAUCCUUGGGUUGGGUCACUACACACUCGGUGUAUCAUCAAUUUCGCACUCUAACACGUGACAUCCCACGUACUCGGGUCUAGGCUCGGACUACCGUCCUGACCAAAACUCUCGCCCUACCAAUAGGUACCGGGCCGCUGUCUCUCACAGCUGACUGCGCCUGCCCAAUGGGUCCAGGCUCCACAGUCCACAAGUGGUCUAGGCACGGGUCGUCCCCAAGCACUACCCGCCAACGUCGUCCUACACGACAUGCUCUACAGAGCUACAAGUACCACUAUCUGCUCUUAAGCACCUUGUGUAAGCCACCAGCCCUACGAGUGAUCCAUGGCCCGCUUCACACUUAGCCCUGCUAAAGUGCUACUGCCAACUCACUCAAUCGGCUGAAUCGAAAUCGCAUCUCACGAGUAACUAUACUCGAGCGCUCUACGCCUCUACCGCGUCUAACAUGAAAUCCAGCAUCCGGCAGCUUGCCUAUGCACGUCCACUACACGAGCAUAACUCGUCUACCUCAACUUCGAGGUAUUACUAGGCCAACGGGCCCGCGUCCGUCAACUACACGGCUACUCUCACCACAGCGAUUCUACUUUCACUGUCCGAUCUACCGGAACACAUUCUCAACUCCCGAGUCUUUCGGGUAUCCUCAACAUUAAGGCUCAACCUUCACAAUCUUUCAAUCCAUUAUUUCAGAGUCACUUACUAGACCAUGUUCUCCACGAAUCUCAUUCCUUACCGCAGAAUUAUCACUAGCC